rnacentral:rRNA from 1 species
CAUGGUCUUAGCUUGCUAAGGCUGAUGGCGACCGGCGCACGGGUGAGUAACACGUAUCCAACCUGCCGUCUACUCUUGGCCAGCCUUCUGAAAGGAAGAUUAAUCCAGGAUGGGAUCAUGAGUUCACAUGUCCGCAUGAUUAAAGGUAUUUUCCGGUAGACGAUGGGGAUGCGUUCCAUUAGAUAGUAGGCGGGGUAACGGCCCACCUAGUCAACGAUGGAUAGGGGUUCUGAGAGGAAGGUCCCCCACAUUGGAACUGAGACACGGUCCAAACUCCUACGGGAGGCAGCAGUGAGGAAUAUUGGUCAAUGGGCGAUGGCCUGAACCAGCCAAGUAGCGUGAAGGAUGACUGCCCUAUGGGUUGUAAACUUCUUUUAUAAAGGAAUAAAGUCGGGUAUGCAUACCCGUUUGCAUGUACUUUAUGAAUAAGGAUCGGCUAACUCCGUGCCAGCAGCCGCGGUAAUACGGAGGAUCCGAGCGUUAUCCGGAUUUAUUGGGUUUAAAGGGAGCGUAGAUGGAUGUUUAAGUCAGUUGUGAAAGUUUGCGGCUCAACCGUAAAAUUGCAGUUGAUACUGGAUGUCUUGAGUGCAGUUGAGGCAGGCGGAAUUCGUGGUGUAGCGGUGAAAUGCUUAGAUAUCACGAAGAACUCCGAUUGCGAAGG